UGCAAGUCGAACGGAAGUCGUUAUAAAAGGAGAGAAGAUUUAUCGGAUUGAAUUUUAUAACAAUGGCUUUAGUGGCGGACUGGUGAGUAACGCGUAAGGAACCUACCUAUUAGAGGGGAACAACAAUGAGAAAUCAUUGCUAAUACCGCAUAUGCCAUAACUACCGCAUGGUAGAAGUGGGAAAGGAGUAAUUCGCUGAUAGAUGGCCUUGCGUCUGAUUAGUUAGUUGGUGGGGUAACGGCCUACCAAGACGACGAUCAGUAGCCGGACUGAGAGGUUGAACGGCCACAUUGGGACUGAGAUACGGCCCAGACUCCUACGGGAGGCAGCAGUCGGGAAUAUUGCGCAAUGGAGGAAACUCUGACGCAGUGACGCCGCGUGCAGGAAGAAGGUUUUCGGAUUGUAAACUGCUUUAGACAGGGAAGAGAAAGGACAGUACCUGUAGAAUAAGCUCCGGCUAACUACGUGCCAGCAGCCGCGGUAAUACGUAGGGAGCGAGCGUUAUCCGGAUUUAUUGG
rnacentral:rRNA from 1 species